rnacentral:rRNA from 1 species
UACAGAGGGGGCAAGCGUUAUUCGGAAUUAUUGGGCGUAAAGGGCGCGUAGGCGGCCAUUCAAGUGACGGGUGAAAGCCCUCGGCUUAACCGAGGAACUGCCUGUCAGACUGGAUGGCUUGAGACCGGGAGAGGUGAGUGGAAUUCCCAGUGUAGCGGUGAAAUUCGUAGAUAUUCGGAAGAACACCAGUGGCGAAGGCGGCUCACUGGACCGGUAUUGACGCUGAGGUGCGAAAGCGUGGGGAGCAAACAGG